UACGUAGGGGGCAAGCGUUGUCCGGAUUUAUUGGGCGUAAAGAGCGUGUAGGCGGUUUGGUAGGUCCGUUGUGAAAACUCGAGGCUCAACCUCGAGACGCCGAUGGAAACCAUCUGGCUAGAGUCCGGGAGAGGAGAGUGGAAUUCCUGGUGUAGCGGUGAAAUGCGCAGAUAUCAGGAAGAACACCCGUGGCGAAAGCGGCUCUCUGGAACGGUACUGACGCUGAGACGCGAAAGCGUGGGGAGCGAACAGG
rnacentral:rRNA from 1 species